UCGGUGCAGAUCUUGGUGGUA
rnacentral:siRNA from 1 species